rnacentral:rRNA from 1 species
AGAGUUUGAUCAUGGCUCAGAACGAACGCUGGCGGCAGGCUUAACACAUGCAAGUCGAGCGCCCCGCAAGGGGAGCGGCAGACGGGUGAGUAACGCGUGGGAAUCUACCCAGCUCUACGGAAUAACUCAGGGAAACUUGUGCUAAUACCGUAUACGUCCGAUAGGAGAAAGAUUUAUCGGAGUUGGAUGAGCCCGCGUUGGAUUAGCUAGUUGGUGGGGUAAUGGCCUACCAAGGCGACGAUCCAUAGCUGGUCUGAGAGGAUGAUCAGCCACACUGGGACUGAGACACGGCCCAGACUCCUACGGGAGGCAGCAGUGGGGAAUAUUGGACAAUGGGCGCAAGCCUGAUCCAGCCAUGCCGCGUGAGUGAUGAAGGCCCUAGGGUUGUAAAGCUCUUUCACCGGUGAAGAUAAUGACGG